rnacentral:rRNA from 1 species
UACGUAGGGGGCUAGCGUUGUCCGGAAUCAUUGGGCGUAAAGCGCGUGUAGGCGGUCCGGUAAGUCCGCUGUGAAAGUCGGGGGCUCAACCCUCGAAUGCCGGUGGAUACUGUCGGGCUAGGGUGCGGAAGAGGCGAGUGGAAUUCCUGGUGUAGCGGUGAAAUGCGCAGAUAUCAGGAGGAACACCAAUUGCGAAGGCAGCUCGCUGGGACGUUACUGACGCUGAGACGCGAAAGCGUGGGGAGCAAACAGG